rnacentral:rRNA from 1 species
ACUACCGAUUGAAUGGUUUAGUGAGGCCUUCUGACUGGCGCCGCUACUCUGGCAACAGAGCGGCGGAUGCCGGGAAGUUGGUCAAACUUGAUCAUUUAKAGGAAGUAAAAGUCGUAACAAGGUUUCCGUAGGUGAACCUGCGGAAGGAUCAUUACCGA